ACGGGAGGCAGCAGUGGGGAAUAUUGGGCAAUGGGCGAAAGCCUGACCCAGCGACGCCGCGUGAAGGAAGAAGGUCUUCGGAUUGUAAACUUCUUUUAUAUGGGACGAAACAAAUGACUGUACCUGUGAAGGAAGCUCCGGCUAACUACGUGCCAGCAGCCGCGGUAAUACGUAGGGAGCGAGCGUUAUCCGGAAUUACUGGGUGUAAAGGGAGUGUAGGCGGGACUGUAAGUCAGAUGUGAAAUAUGCCGGCUCAACCGGCAGACUGCAUUUGAAACUGCGGUUCUUGAGUGAAGUAGAGGUAAGCGGAAUUCCUAGUGUAGCGGUGAAAUGCGUAGAUAUUAGGAGGAACAUCAGUGGCGAAGGCGGCUUACUGGGCUUUAACUGACGCUGAGGCUCGAAAGCGUGGGGAGCAAACAGGAUUAGAUACCCUGGUA
rnacentral:rRNA from 1 species